CUGUCUCUCUCACGGGUUCAGCUCUUCCAGAUAGAGUCCAAAGAAGUAAAAUCCAAAGUAAAGGGUUUUCCCCUUCCUCUAAUCUCAUCUGACAUAUUAAUUUUUGAUUCAUCAGUGAACCAUUUCCUUUUACUGCUUCGGUCAUGGACUCAUGUGGUCAUGAAAACGAUCUGAGAAAGGCAGUCACUAUGUGGUAUUAAUGAUCAAAUAGCCUUUGAAUGGCAGGGAUAGCUCUGUUUUUGGAUCUUCUGAGCAAAAAUCCGUCUUGUUUCGACCUAAACCCUGCAUUCUUAUGGGUUAUUCUACGCUUCUGUUGAUGCUUCUGAUGCCACUGCUUCUGUUGCAGCUGGAAGCUCUUUUGCUUCUAGGUUUUCAUUGGGACUUCGCAGAAGAGCAGCCCGUUAAUUUGGUUGUCCCCUUCAAAGAAUUCAUCAAUUAAAUCAUUUUUAAGGGCGUUCUCAUUCCUUACAAUUAUCAAAUUGGAGUUGAAAUCAGUGGUUGGAUCCAGCAACCAGAGAAACAUUGAAAGAUAGAACUGGUUCAACCAGAGAUGAUGUAGAAUUUGAUAAAGUUAAGUAGAUUAGAUAUAUAGAUAUAUAGAUGUAUAUAUAUUUUUUUAACUACACUAUCCUGCUGAACACUGCUGGCCAAGGGCCAGCCUACUGGGUGCUAGUAGGGCUAAGAGCCACUUACUCCUACACACACUCACCAACACACAAUUGCAUAUGACAUGGUUCGAUCUCACAACCUCCUCCCCUGGCGCCGGCUAAGUAGAUCAAUAAAUCUAAUCUCAAAGGAAAGAGUGAUAUUCUAAUAUCUCUGCUGAAAUCUUAAAAGGUUGGGGUAUAAUUUGUUUGCCUAUCAUGGCCUAACUGGUUCAGCCACAUAUGUCUUUUAGUAAGGAUCUACACUCUUUAGUUCUUUACCUACUGGGGGCAUUUAUAACAUUUCUUUUUUUCAAAAUGGAGUAGGAAUUUAGGUGUUCACUGAUCAGCUACAACAUAUUGGUUUUUCCUUACCAUAGUUCUUACUGUAAUUUAAGAGGAUUUUGAUGUGUUUUUUGUUUAUUCUAUUUAGGAUUUUGUAAGAUCUGUCCACCAGCCUUUGUUCCUUCUCCUUGGAAAAAUAAGAGAUUCUUAAAGUAUGUAUGGUAAGUCUUGAAGGGAAUCUGAAUACAGACUAAAGCUGCUGGAAAGACUGUCUAUUAUGUGCCCCAGCAUAUGGCAUGGAAACUACUGAAAGGUUACUUGCUUGGAGUCUAACCAUCGUGGCAUACCCAAGUAAGAAUUUAGAUAUACUGAUGCCUCUCUCAUAUUUCCAAUGAUGAAGAGGAGGAUGAUAAGGUUGCUAAAGCUGAAAAAAUGGGUUCUUGGAAAGAAGCUUUCUGAAGCGACUAUUAGAUGUGGGGCAUCCAUGGUCUUUGCUUCCACUUAAAGUGAGGUUGGUGCCACCCUUUUCCAAUCUUCAUCAUGGCAAUAGAUUGAAACGACAAAAACAUUAUCAAACGGGCCCUUGAUUUCAAGGGAUUUUGGGUCUUCAUGAGUCCCAGAUCAUGACAACAGCAAUCACCCCGACACCAAAUAGCACGGCGAGGAACCUCGCAUG